GCCGGAUUAGCUAGUUGGUGGGGUAAUGGCCCACCAAGGCGACGAUCCGUAGCUGGUCUGAGAGGACGACCAGCCACACUGGGACUGAGACACGGCCCAGACUCCUACGGGAGGCAGCAGUGGGGAAUUUUGGACAAUGGGCGCAAGCCUGAUCCAGCCAUGCCGCGUGUGUGAAGAAGGCCUUCGGGUUGUAAAGCACUUUCGGACGGAACGAAAUCGCGCGCAUGAACAAUGCGCGUGGAUGACGGUACCGUAAGAAGAAGCACCGGCUAACUACGUGCCAGCAGCCGCGGUAAUACGUAGGGUGCAAGCGUUAAUCGGAAUUACUGGGCGUAAAGGGUGCGCAGGCGGCUCCGCAUGUCAGGCGUGAAAUCCCCGGGCUCAACCUGGGAAUGGCGCUUGAAACUACGGGGCUGGAGUGUGGCAGAGGGAGGUGGAAUUCCACGUGUAGCGGUGAAAUGCGUAGAGAUGUGGAGGAACACCGAUGGCGAAGGCAGCCUCCUGG
rnacentral:rRNA from 1 species